rnacentral:rRNA from 1 species
GGGAAUCUGCCCUUGGGUCUGGAAUAACAGUUAGAAAUGACUGCUAAUACCGGAUGAUGACUUCGGUCCAAAGAUUUAUCGCCCAAGGAUGAGCCCGCGUCGGAUUAGCUAGUUGGUGAGGUAAAAGCUCACCAAGGCGACGAUCCGUAGCUGGUCUGAGAGGAUGAUCAGCCACACUGGGACUGAGACACGGCUCAGACUCCUACGGGAGGCAGCAGUGGGGAAUAUUGGACAAUGGGCGAAAGCCUGAUCCAGCAAUGCCGCGUGAGUGAUGAAGGCCUUAGGGUUGUAAAGCUCUUUUACCCGGGAUGAUAAUGACAGUACCGGGAGAAUAAGCCCCGGCUAACUCCGUGCCAGCAGCCGCGGUAAUACGGAGGGGGCUAGCGUUGUUCGGAAUUACUGGGCGUAAAGCGCACGUAGGCGGCUUUGUAAGUUAGAGGUGAAAGCCCGGGGCUCAACUCCGGAAUUGCCUUUAAGACUGCAUCGCUAGAAUUGUGGAGAGGUAAGUGGAAUUCCGAGU